UGAGACUUUGGGGUUUGAUUUGUUUGAUUUCCCACCUGGCUUUUAGCCAAAUCUCUCUCUGGUCAGAUUUGGUGGCAUUUGUUUGUUUUUCACUCCUCCUUCUACCCCCGCAGCACCUGAAGUGAAUUGAAGUCUCCUCCCCCCCCAGCUGUGGCCACUUUGCCCUCCCUGCUCAGUGCCCUUUAUAAGCAGUGCAGGAGGAGCCCAGCCCUAAGCUGGGCCCAUUGUGGAUCAAGGGAUCCUCUGCCCGGCGUCCCAGGGAGCUUAAUUGCUUUAGCCAAAAUCAAGUUUGAGAGAUGUGUGGAGCCUCAGCCACAAACCCUGACUGUUGGGGGAUGCUUUGAUAGCAGAAUGCAGAGCUGCUGGAAACCCAGCUCCUCCUUGCAAGUGGUUCAGAAUGGGACUCCCUUUGGAAAAUGGGGACAGAAACCUCUCUUUGAGAAUGAAGAUUAUGGAGGGGAAACUGAGGUGACUUCAGAGCAGAGGAUAUUUUGAAGGAAAAAGCUGAACAGGUCUAUUGGGAAGGAAGCAAAAACUCUGGAGGAAAAAUCUGAGGUAAACAAGAGGACACAAGUGACAUUUUAUAGGGGAAAAAAGUGAGUUAGUCUCUAGGGGAUAAAAAUGAAGACUGUAGGAGGGAAAAGCUGAGGUGAUUGGGUGGAACAGAGCUGACAUGAUGCAUGAAAAAACUUAGGGUAACCCAUAGGGGAGACCAUGACCAUUUUGGAGGGAAAUCCUGAGGUAGGUGAGGGUAUGUGGGUAACAUAUUAAAAGAGAGACCUAAGAUAGUGUCUGUGAAACAAGAUACUCUUGUGUCACCAGAGUUAUAGUCAGAGGCAAGUCCCUUUGGCCAGAGUACCUUGCUCACCUCCCAUUCUCCAGCCCGAUGCCGAUCCUCUUUGCGAUGUGUCUUGCUUCGUGAUUCCAUGCCACGCCUCUUCCACCAUCAGUGUCAGCUGCUGCUGAGGAAGAAGGACAGAG